rnacentral:sRNA from 1 species
AAUUUUUUGUCAUAGUUUCAUUUGGUUUACAUAUCCUUGAAAAAUAAAAGGGAGAUUUUAAAAUUUGAAAUGCUACUAGUACAUGUAUGUGCUUCUUGCGAUUUUACACAGAUAUUAAUUAGGAAUCUGCAGUAAAUGAUACGUUGAUUCAUGCUUCCUCUCACUGCUUGUUAUGACAUUUUGUUUAUACAUGUAUACUGUGUCAGUAUAAUAACCAAUGUUCAUUUACUAUGUUAGUAUAAAUAGGUGCUUUGGUUUGACCCACAUGGGAAUUUGUACUUCUUCAAUGUUAAGGGCAUUGUCAUGUGUCGUAUUGCUUUGAAUACUGUAAACCAUCCCAUUAUUUGUGACAACUUCAUUUUGUGAUCUACUGGAGAAAAAACUGGUUUGAGAAGACUUAUUUCAAGAAUCAAGAUAUAGAGAAUCUGGAAAUUAAAAGACCAGGGAAAUUUGAUGACUUGCACUCAGCAAGAAAAAUUCACAUCAACGAUGUAUUUUGCAAUAAAUUUUUCCCACAUGAAUAAAAGUUGGCUUAGAGUAUUACAAAAAAAAUUGUCCUUGGGGUCCUUGUUCCAUUUCCCAGCCAGUUUUAAAUAUAAUGAUGUUCACUGCUGUAGCGGUUUAUGUAGUCUUUUGCUUCUGUUGGAGCUAUAAUUAGCAUCAAGCCACCAUUUUAACUUACAUGAAAAAAUAUUUAUACAUAUGGAGUACUGUACAACCAACAGCUGAAGCCAAAAAACAUCUGUCAGUAUUACACAGCUGUUGUCGCUGUAUACAACAUCCAAUGUUUAUUUUAAUUUUAUUGUUUUUUACAGAUGUAAGGUUGUUAAAAGUAAUGCAUUGAUUUUAUUUCGAUUGAAUCUUGAAGUAACUUCCCUUAAACAUAUUACCGGUAUGUAAAACUGUUGUCACAGUUUGUUGGUUGGUUAAUUUAUUGAAUAUUAACAUCAAUACAUGUAGAUAAUGCUACAUUAACAUUGUUCCUUAAGAUAUUGAUGAAUAAAAUAUAAAAUGAGCAAC